GGAGUGUGUAGGGGAUGUCCUGAUGUGUGUAAGGAAUGCAUUGUGUGAAUCUGUGUUUGUAUGUGUAAGGGCUGCAAGGUGAGUUUGAGUAUGUAUGGGAUGCAUUGAGUGUGUGUAAUGAAUGCAUUGUGUGUUGCUGUGUGUGUAAGGGAUGCAUUGCUGGUGUAUGUGUGUCUGUGUGUGUAAUGCAUUGUGUGUUUUUCUGUGUGCAAG